AGAGUUUGAUCCUGGCUCAGGAUGAACGCUAGCGGCAGGCCUAAUACAUGCAAGUCGAACGGGAUCCAGUGGUAGCUUGCUAUCAUUGGUGAGAGUGGCGCACGGGUGCGUAACGCGUGAGCAACCUACCCAUAUCAGGGGGAUAGCCCGAAGAAAUUCGGAUUAACACCGCAUAAGACUAUAACCCGGCAUCGGGAAGUAGUUAAAUAUUUAUAGGAUAUGGAUGGGCUCGCGUGACAUUAGCUAGUUGGUGAGGUAACGGCUCACCAAGGCGACGAUGUCUAGGGGCUCUGAGAGGAGAAUCCCCCACACUGGUACUGAGACACGGACCAGACUCCUACGGGAGGCAGCAGUAAGGAAUAUUGGUCAAUGGACGCAAGUCUGAACCAGCCAUGCCGCGUGCAGGAUGACUGCCCUAUGGGUUGUAAACUGCUUUUGUUAGGGAAUAAACCCAUCUACGUGUAGAUGGCUGAAUGUACCUAAAGAAUAAGGAUCGGCUAACUCCGUGCCAGCAGCCGCGGUAAUACGGAGGGUGCAAGCGUUAAUCGGAAUUACUGGGCGUAAAGCGCACGCAGGCGGUUUGUUAAGUCAGAUGUGAAAUCCCCGGGCUCAACCUGGGAACUGCAUCUGAUACUGGCAAGCUUGAGUCUCGUAGAGGGGGGUAGAAUUCCAGGUGUAGCGGUGAAAUGCGUAGAGAUCUGGAGGAAUACCGGUGGCGAAGGCGGCCCCCUGGACGAAGACUGACGCUCAGGUGCGAAAGCGUGGGGAGCAAAUAGGAUUAGAUACCCUGGUAGUCCACGCCGUAAACGAUGUCGACUUGGAGGUUGUGCCCUUGAGGCGUGGCUUCCGGAGCUAACGCGUUAAGUCGACCGCCUGGGGAGUACGGCCGCAAGGUUAAAACUCAAAUGAAUUGACGGGGGCCCGCACAAGCGGUGGAGCAUGUGGUUUAAUUCGAUGCAACGCGAAGAACCUUACCUGGUCUUGACAUCCACAGAACUUUCCAGAGAUGGAUUGGUGCCUUCGGGAACUGUGAGACAGGUGCUGCAUGGCUGUCGUCAGCUCGUGUUGUGAAAUGUUGGGUUAAGUCCCGCAACGAGCGCAACCCUUAUCCUUUGUUGCCAGCGGUCCGGCCGGGAACUCAGAGGAGACUGCCAGUGAUAAACUGGAGGAAGGUGGGGAUGACGUCAAGUCAUCAUGGCCCUUACGACCAGGGCUACACACGUGCUACAAUGGCGCAUACAAAGAGAAGCGACCUCGCGAGAGCAAGCGGACCUCAUAAAGUGCGUCGUAGUCCGGAUUGGAGUCUGCAACUCGACUCCAUGAAGUCGGAAUCGCUAGUAAUCGUGGAUCAGAAUGCCACGGUGAAUACGUUCCCGGGCCUUGCACACACCGCCAGUCA
rnacentral:rRNA from 1 species